AGAGCGAACGCUGGCGGCAGGCCUAACACAUGCAAGUCGAGCGCCCGUAGCAAUACGGGAGCGGCAGACGGGAUAGUAACACGUGGGAACGCGCCCUUCGGUUCGGAAUAACUCAGGGAAACUUGAGCUAAUACCGGAUACGCCCUUACGGGGAAAGAUUUAUUGCCGAAGGAACGGCCCGCGUCCGAUUAGCUAGUUGGUGAGGUAAUGGCUCAUCAAGGCGACGAUCGGUAGCUGGUCUGAGAGGAUGACCAGCAUCACUGGGACUGAGACACGGCCCAGACUCCUACGGGAGGCAGCAGUGGGGAAUAUUGGACAAUGGGCGCAAGCCUGAUCCAGCCAUGCCGCGUGGAUGAUGAAGGCCUUAGGGUUGUAAAGUCCUUUAACGGGGAAGAUAAUGACGGUACCGUAGAAUAAGCCCGGCUAACUUCGUGCCAGCAGCCGC
rnacentral:rRNA from 1 species